rnacentral:rRNA from 1 species
AGUGAACGCUGGCGGCAGGCCUAACACAUGCAAGUCGAGCGGGCCCUUCGGGGUCACUGGCAGAUGGGUGAGUAACACGUGGGAACGUACCCUUUUGCUCGGAAUAACGCUGGGAAACUAGCGCUAAUACCGGAUACGCUCCUUUGGGGAAACGUUUGCUGUCGAAGGAUCGGCCGGCGGCGUUUUAGCCAGUCGGGGGGGUAAAGGCCCACCAAGGCGACGAUCCGUAGCUGGGAUGAGAGGAAGAACAGCCACACUGGGACUGAGACAUGGGCCACACUCCUACGGGAGGCAGCAGUGGGGAAGAUUGGACAAAGGGCGAAAGCCGGAUCCAGCCAUACCGCGUGGGUGAAGAAGGCUUUCGGGUUGUAAAGCCCUGUUGGUGGGAAAGAAAAGCAGCAGGUUAAUACCCCGCUGUGCGGACGGUACCCAAAGAAUAAGCACCGGCUAACUUCGUG